CAAUAGCGUAUAUUAAAGUUGUUGCAGUUAAAAAGCUCGUAGUUGGAUUUCGGGGCAGCCUGGCUGGUCCGCCGCAAGGCGAGUACUGGUCAGCCGCCCUUCCUCUCGAAAGCCCCGACUGCUCUUUAUUGCAGUGGUCGGGUAGUUCGGGACGUUUACUUUGAAAAAAUUAGAGUGUUCAAGGCAGGCCUACGCCUGAAUACAUUAGCAUGGAAUAAUGGAAGAGGACCUCGGUCCUAUUUUGUUGGUUUCCAGGACCGAAGCAAUGAUUAAGAGGGACAGUUGGGGGCAUUCGUAUUUAAUUGUCAGAGGUGAAAUUCUCGGAUUUAUGAAAGACGAACAACUGCGAAAGCAUUUGCCAAGGAUGUUUUCAUUAA
rnacentral:rRNA from 1 species